rnacentral:rRNA from 1 species
UGCCGGACCCGACUGCUAUCGGAUUGAGAUUUAGCCACGCGAGUCGAACGUCCCCCUGUUGCGGGGGGCGUGGCGUACGGCUCAGUAACACGUAGUCAACCUGCCCUGGAGACACGGACAACCCCGGGAAACUGGGACUAAUCCGUGAUAGGUCACCUCAUCUGGAAGGAGAGAUGGCCCAAAGGGGCGCGCGGGCUUCUUCUGCGCGUUCGCUCCAGGAUGGGACUGCGACCGAUCAGGCUGUUGGCGGGGUAAAGGCCCACCAAACCUGUAACCGGUACGGGCCUUGAGAGAGGUGGCCCGGAGAUGGACACUGAGAAAAGGGUCCAGGUCCUACGGGGCGCAGCAGGCGCGAAACCUUCGCAAUGCGCGAAAGCGUGACGAGGUUAAUCCGAGUGAAUUCCCGCUGAGGAGACCUUUUGUCGGCUGUAAAUUG